CCGUCUCUUAGUGUUGAAAUUGUGUCGUUCCCAUGACGAAAAAACCCGGUGAAGAAUCUUUCUUUCUCUAUCUCUCCCACUCUGUGUCGCUCCUGAUGAAGAAAAUAGCAUGCAGCCGACUGGAAUCGAAAGGAUGUGGAAUAUUCUCAAUUUUGAAUUUGUUCGAGUGAAAGCUCGAAACUUUGACGUAUUGUGGCUAUGGAUGACAUGAUCCGUUAGACUGAAUUUUAAUGUUUGUGUCUUUUGUGAAUGGGCAGGUGAAGAGAGAGUUAAGAGGCAUCCAGGAACAGAGAAAGAUGAUGAAAAGAGAAGCAGGAGAAGUGAGAAAAAGAAGGAAAAGAAAUCUCACAAGCACCACCGAUCAAGUACAUGAAAGUGAGAGUAAAGAAGAUGUUCUUGAUGAAGGUGAUGAUGAUGAGGAUGAUUUGGAGGAAGAGCAUGAGACACAAGUUCAUCCAGAAGCAGAGCCUGAGGUGAAAAGGGCUCCUGAAUUUCGUUAAUGGGUCUUCCCGUUCGACCCCCUUUUCACCCAAUCUGUUUUUUUUGUUUAUGUGUCUCACUGUUAUCUACAUCUUGUGAUCCUUGCUCUGCUCAUGACUAGCAAGACUGUGUUCACCGAGAAGAUACUCAACUUCCUGCCAAGUGUUUCAGUUGCAUAUCAAUAAGCUACCGGCAACGGUAACGUUUGAGAAGAACAAAAGCAUGUGAAGUAACUUCGAUUAUUACUUUUCUUCCUUGAGGUAAAUAUCAAAUUCAGAUAAAAUUUUAAUGACAUUACCUAUGAACAUGAUGAAAUAAUUUACAAUUUUUUUUUUGAAGAACCUUUACUUAAAAAACUUGCAAUGGAGGACAAAAAUUUAGGUGUCUCUUACCUAAAGUUCUUAACAUAUAUUUAUUACUAAACAAUUGAUUAAGAGACCCUAAUGGGUUCUAGGGAUAAUCAUGCUUUAACUCAUCUUCUCGACGUGUUCUGACGUGUUCUACCGUGUGAUAUUACCAAUAUUAUUUAAAUAGAAGCAUAAUUUAGACUUAACUUUGAUCUACCGUGUGAUAUUACCAAAUUAAAACUUUUAUAUUAGUUAUGCACUCUAAUAUAUCAGAUAACAACUUAAUUAGUCAUCUAAUACUAAAUAAUUAAAAAUAUUUCUAAAAUAAAAUAACUAAAAAGCUAUUCAUACAUUUUUUUAAGACUGCAAUCUAAUAAAAUCAUAGUGUAUAAAUUAAAACAUAAAAA